UACGUAGGGCGCAAGCGUUAUCCGGAAUUAUUGGGCGUAAAGAGCUCGUAGGCGGUUUGUCGCGUCUGCUGUGAAAGACCGGGGCUCAACUCCGGUUCUGCAGUGGGUACGGGCAGACUAGAGUGCAGUAGGGGGAGACUGGAAUUCCUGGUGUAGCGGUGAAAUGCGCAGAUAUCAGGAGGAACACCGAUGGCGAAGGCAGGUCUCCUGGGCAUUAACUGACGCUGAGGAGCGAAAAGCAUGGGGGAGCGAACAGG
rnacentral:rRNA from 1 species